UAAUUUCCAUAGUAAAAGAAAUAUAAAUAAAAUAGAAAAUAAUAAUAUCAAAUAAUUAAAAAAUUAAUUUGUAAGACACUUAUCAAUAAAAUAAAAUAAAUAUUAAAAUAAAUUUCUAUUAAAAAAACAUGUAUUUUUAUAAUAUUUUGUUUAAAAACUAGUACAAUUCAAUUUAAAAUAAGUACAAUUCAGUUUAAAAUAGGCUUAAUACCUCUUUUCGUCCCUCUUUAAGGGGUGAAUGUUCAAUUGCG
rnacentral:lncRNA from 1 species